ACUCAGGCACGAUCGUUAGCAAUAGUGCUAAAGAAGCGACCUGAAGUUCAAUCCUGAGGGA
rfam:Corynebacterium kutscheri strain DSM 20755, complete genome.